AAUUCCGGGUAAUCGCGGUCAUCUUUUGGUGGCUGAGGAAAGUCCAUGCUCGCACAAGCUGAGAUGCUUGUAGUGUUCGUGCUUAGUGAAAAAAUAAGCUAAGGCAGUCUACGGAUUGACGGCAGAAAAAAAGGCUAAAGUUUAAUCCAAGCCUGAGUAUUCUUGAAAGUGCCACAGAGACGAUACUCUAUAGGAAACUGUAGAGGUGGAACGGGUAAACCCCACGAGCGAGCAACCCAAACCUUGGUAGGGGCACUCUUUUUAAGGAAAUGAACAGCAAAAAGGGGCAGAAAUGCAGAUAGAUGAUUACCCUAGUAAGAUAGCUCCUGACUUUCUUACUAGACAGAACAUGGCUUAUAGGA
rnacentral:RNase_P_RNA from 2 species